UCCUACGGGGCGCAGCAGUGAGGAAUAUUGGUUAAUGGUCGGGAGACUGAACCAGCCAAGCCGCGUGAGGGAUGAAGGUACAGAGUAUCGUAAACCUCUUUUGUCAGGGAACAAAGGCGGGGACGUGUCCCCGGAUGAGUGUACCUGAAGAAAAAGCAUCGGCUAACUCCGUGCCAGCAGCCGCGGUAAUACGAAGGAUGCGAGCGUUAUCCGGAUUUAUUGGGUUUAAAGGGUGCGCAGGCGGUCUGUUAAGUCAGCGGUCAAAGCCCGGGGCUCAACCCCGGCCCGCCGUUGAAACUGGCAGU
rnacentral:rRNA from 1 species